CAAUAGCGUAUAUUAAAGUUGUUGCGGUUAAAAAGCUCGUAGUUGGAUUUCUGCCGAGGACGACCGGUCCGCCCUCUGGGUGUGUAUCUGGUUUGGCCUGGGCAUCUUCUUGGAGAACGUAGCUGCACUUGACUGUGUGGUGCGGUGUCCAGGACUUUUACUUUGAGGAAAUUAGAGUGUUUCAAGCAGGCACACGCCUUGAAUACAUUAGCAUGGAAUAAUAAGAUAGGACCUCGGUUCUAUUUUGUUGGUUUCCAGGGCCGAAGUAAUGAUUAAGAGGGACAGUUGGGGGCAUUCGUAUUUAAUUGUCAGAGGUGAAAUUCUCGGAUUUAUGAAAGACGAACAACUGCGAAAGCAUUUGCCAAGGAUGUUUUCAUUAA
rnacentral:rRNA from 1 species